rnacentral:rRNA from 1 species
GACGUAGGGCGCGAGCGUUUGUCCGGAUUUAUUGGGCGUAAAGAGCUCGUAGGCGGCUUGUCGCGUCGAAUGUGAAAUCUCAGGGCUCAACUCUGACAUUGCAUUCGAUACGGGCAGGCUCGAGUUCGGUAGGGGAGACUGGAAUUCCUGGUCGUAGCGGUGAAAUGCGCAGAGUAUCAGGAGGAACACCGGUGGCGAAGGCGGGUCUCUGGGCCGAUACUGACGCUGAGGAGCGAAAGCGUGGGGAGCGAACAGG